UGCUGGCUCAUACAGCCAUAUUUAAUCUUGCUCCUUUGGAGGGGACCUCACCAUAGCUUGGUUACACCCAAAUUCAUAUUGCACUCUAAAAUAAAAUAAAAAAAAUUGUAAGGACUGGCAUAUGCAUAACCCUAAGGGGUGCUGCUUGAGGUAUUCAGAAGCGAUACAGACAGCUACAUCCACAUCAGUGUGUGUCUGUUAUUCUCCAUCUAAAUAACAGGGCGGAUAUCUGUGACAUUUGGAAAAAAAAAAUAAGAUGAAUUUGUCCAAUAUGUGUGCAGGGAUAUGGGAUAACAGCACUGCAUGGAUGGAAUAGCAGGGAGUGCCUGGGGUCAGCGGGUGAGUGGCAAUGCUGUGUGGGGAUGGUUGUAUGGGGCCACUCACAGCAUUGCCCCAGCCCAUGGUUGGACAGGCAGGGUGAGCUAUUCUUAGUCAAGAACUUCAUGCAGAACCCAGCCCUUAGAAAAAAAGAGCAAAAUAGCUUUUUGACCAGAAGAUUGAGGCUUCUUAUGUGGUUUGAGGCUGUCAUCUGAUGAACAGCUUGUCCCAGAAGUUAUAGCUAACGUCACUGCUGAGUGCUGUGGCACGUAUUCCAAAUGCACGAGACAGAUCGUGAACAAAAACUGUGUUUGUUUCAAAUUCAUACUCCUAAUACUAUUGACUUAAAUACUUGUGGUACAUUAGUAUCUGUAGCUCAAAUCAGGAAAGCUGCAAAAAGUAGCCAUUGUUAACAAGGUUCUGUUUCUUCCUGAAAUUAAAUCAACUGGCAUCAAUUUGAAGAAAAUUUGCUGUAAUGAGUUUUUCUUACUGAGAGUGACCAAAGCAGAACAUAGGAAGGAGUGCAGCAAAUCAAAGAAGCAAAGAAAAGGUUGGGAAGACAGACAAGGUAUGUGAACAUAUUUUUCAUGGACAUUUUGACUUUCUUGCUAUAUUAAUUUAUGUCACAUAGUUUUAUGUCACGGUGGCAGUGCCCUUAAUCGGAACAAAAUUCUAUCUCUGACAUAAUACAAUAAGGACAAGCAUUUACAGAUCUAACUUCAAUUUGACUGUCUGUGGUGAAAUCAAUGAGAGGCAGAAAAACUUAAGUAUGCUUACAGAUCUUGUGAUUGUUCUGUUCAAACAGAAUUCUUCAAAUCCAUGGAUAGUUUGAUUAGGUUACUGCUUAUAGAUAGUUGGUACAUGCCUCAUGAACAAAAGUAAAUAUUCAUUUCAGAUCUCAAUCCCAUCAUCAGGUGCCUACAAAUUUAUUACUGUGAAUUGAAAGAUUUGCAGGAUUGCCUUUGUAGAAUUGUGAAAUCUGACAUAGAUCCUUGGAAUUGCAUGUUGACCAUAAGUGAACAGAAGGAUAAGUGCUGCUGUUCUCCUCUGGCUCAUUUUUAGUUUUGGGAUUCCUGUAGGCAGUGCUGAAUGUGAACCCCUUCAAUGCUGACCCCUCCUACAUUCCCAUAUGCAGCUGCACAUUCUAAAUGCUGUGAAAAAAAAAUCACACAGUACAGUGUGAUCUGCAAGCAUUUAUACAAUAGAUGAACCACAGUGACUGUUCAAGCUUGAACUGGGUGUUAUAGUUUAUGCAAGUUCAGGCAUGUUUUGAAAUGAAGAGAGGUAGGAAAAGAUAAAUCAUACCUUUGUUUCUGUGAAGCAUUUUUCCAUAAAAACCCAAAUGUUGAUGCCUAAACAAGGCCAAAAAAUGUAUCGUCCCUACCUUUCCUUAAGGGUGUUUGCUUGCACAGUGCUAGGAUCAUCUGUAGUUGAGACAAGAUUCACACUUCUCCCAGGUCCAGAUGGCACUUCUGUGCUGCUGGGACGGUCUAGCAAAGCUGCUCCUUGUUUCUGAGCAGGUGACACUGAACCACCCCAAGGUGUAAGUUCAGCCAGCUUCAAUGCUUUGCUGAGCUUGCUGUCAAUGGGAGGGAGCUGGCUGGGCUCUGUUGUUGCUCCAGCCAGUUCCCACAGCAGCUCCUUGGCACCCUGCUGGGCUGCAGUAGGGUAUCAGCGUGAGCAACGCUGCAGAGCCGUGGGCUGCUCCUGGGUAUGUCUCCUCAGUUCCUUGCUCUGCCCAGAUAACAGGCACUAGGAUAUAGAAUUGCUCUCCUCCAACUCCUUUUCUUUUCCUGCUGUAUAGGGACAUGCAUAUAUUUAACAUAUACGUUCACAAACUGUUAACCUUAGUACUAUUUUCUCUUUUCCUACCUUAACCAAAGCUUCAUUUUAUUUCGAGCACUGUAAUUAAUUGACUCAGCAGCACAGUCAAGGAUACACCCCCUGGGUGCUUCAGCCUUUUACACAGAAGAUCCCAGGGUGUCGAGGGUCACUUUCAAGGCUUGUAUCUAUCUCAGGCAUUUGGAGAUCAAGUCCAAGUGGUCUUUGGAACUGCUUCAUACUCUGAAAUCGCGUUCCUCCAAAGCUGAUAUCUCCUGUUUUGGACACAAUAUCCAAAUGUGUAGAUAACAGAUGUUGCCCUUGGGUGGAAGACCUUCAUUCUCCUGGAUGGUGGUCUUAGACAUAGCAUUCCAACCAAGGAAACCACAGUCAACGAAAAAAAAAACCCAACCCCCAUCCCAAAUUGUGUACGGAGUCCUGGCAACUCAAGCAGGGCCAAACUGAUGUUGAACAGAACUUAAUUAUUUUAAUUUUAUUCACACUGAGUCUUCAUCUGUGUUGACAGUACUCUUUUCCAGUCUACUUCACAAUGACAGGCAGAAUCCAAAUCCCAUUCAAAUGAAAGUAUGAGGAAGCCAGGGAUGGACUCCUAGCAAACAAACAAAAACAGUUAGACAUUUUUACUUCAAAAGCACAGCAGUGGUUUACCAGCAAGGACUGUACUCAUUAAUGCUGUCUUAUUUGCGCUGCUACCUAUUACAAUUUUUAAUGUUGCUUUGAAAAAAAAAAAACCAUUUUUAAGAGCCAACUGUUUCACUGCUUUGAAAUCUCUUUGCCCAAGAGUGAAUCUUUGCAUUUGUUUUCAAAACAGUCAGUUCUUUCGUGUGGAAGCCAUGCAAGUAAGUUGGUACACAUUGUUAGUACAUCAGUCUUCAAAGACAAAUGAAAAAUAAAGGGCUUCCUUAUUUGAGACCACUUUUCUGCUCACCGCCUCCUUUCCCGUUUCCUUUCCUUAUUUGUCCUCCAGCAGCAGCUAAUGCAGCCAUGCCACGGUGUUGAAGCGCGAUGUCGGGUGAAAUGCAGGCAUUGUGUGGAGCCAUGAGAGCGCCAGCAGUGCAUGGCACGUGGGAACACAUUCAGGCCUACACCAAUGAGAAGAAACAGGAAAGGCUGUGGGCAUCCCACUGCCUUUGCUGUGCUGAUUCCUGGGGAAGCAGAAGAAGAGCUCCAGCAGCAGCCUCACAUGGGCCCAGCACUGGGAGCAGAAGCUCAGCAUCACCCACUACAGCCUCCUUUCUACAGCACUGCCAGCUGAUUCAGUCCUUGCCUCAGGUGAUCAAUUGGUGGUUCAGGCUGUGAUUCAACAGUUCCCAUGCAGUACUUUAUCCAAACACUGAACAACCGUGCUGUACCUUCGUAGCAACGUGAGGAGUUCUACACGUUGAGAGAUGACUGCCUCAACUUUCAGCUUUCAGCCCUGACUCUUCUUAAAGGUGAGUUUUUGGUUGGCAGAGAGUGAUUGUGAAAUUUAGAGCCAUAAUUUUUCUUUGGUAUGAUGGAGUUUUGUAGGUUGGUUGUAGCAGUUUUGUAAGUUGGUUUCAAAAUUGCACUUUUACUCUGCUAAUUAGGUGGUAUUGACCACCAACUUGAACUAGGUAGUGUUACAAGUAUGAUGUGUAAGUGUUGUGUCAGAGGACAAGGAAUGUUGUUGCCUGAACCACAGCUGUAAUGCUGUACCUGGCCUUGUUUACAUUGCUGAAGCUCUGUGGAGUGCAGUUCUUCUGUGGAAAAUGGAAAUGAAUGGUAUUUGCCUAUCACAAAAGAGUGCUACAGUAGGUUGUUAGCUCCACUGGAUUGUCUACGUGAAGGUGUACAGAACCGUUCAGAAAUCUCCACUAGCUACUUGGGAUUUGGACUUGCGUUUUUGUAGCUCUGCUAACUAAAUUCCAGUGUAACAAUUGCAAUAGAUUCUUCGUAUGGUUCUUCUUUUAUUUUGCUUGUUAUUGGAAAGGAACUUCUAAUCUAUGCACCAGGCUCAGCAGCAGUGCAGGCAGGAAAGGACCCGAACUUUAGAGCUUCUGUCAGUUUGGACUGGAAAUAAUUGUGCAAAGGAUUGUGAGAUUUUGCUGUCUUCAAAUGUGAAAUAUACUUGAGCAACAGUUUAUCUUUUAGUGUAACUUCAAUUCAAAUCUUAGCUUCAGAUACUAUGAUUUUGACUUUUCCUAAUAAAAAAUCCAGGUGGAAGUGACUAGAAAUAGGAAGCAAAUACCUAAUUUGCAGAAAAAUGCCUUGGCGGUAGUGAAGUGAGAGCGCCUGACAGACUGCCUCAUGGUGUUCAUUCUUACCGAGCUACAGUGAAGGCAGAUGAAGCAUAAAUUACUCAGUAAGCAAAUGCCUUGUUUUCUCUGUAACUCCACCUCUUUGGGGCAUCCUGCCCUGUCCCCACCCCUCGCACUUGUCUGCUUGUCUUAAUGGCAGUAUUCACGCAGCUGGUAAUUUAUGUGUCUGAGAGAGAAGAUUUACACAGAGCCUUCCCUUCAGUUAUUCAGAAAAUGUGAGAUACAACACGUGAUUUGUUAGGUCCCAAACUCUUAACUUAAAAGUCACGAACAUCUUAAUGGCUGGGCUCGAGCAAGAGAAGUUUUAUAUGCAAUAACUUGAGCGAGAAGCUGGUUCUGAGGUCCUCACUUUACGCCUAGUUACAAAAGUUUGUCUUCAAAAUAAAUACAAUGCCUAUUGUAACAUAAGCACACAGUAAUUUGGCUUUGGUUGAAGCAGUUCGAUGCGCUGCUCUGGCAGACAGACGGAGCUGAUCCAGUUACGGAGACCUGCUUGAUUCGGUCGGUGUCUUGUGUCAUAAACACGAAUUGUUAAUUUCAUAUUACUCAUAACAGGCGCACUGUGAAUGUUUGCAGCGUUUAUAGGAUAUCAGUUACAAAUGUGAUUAUACCAGCCAUUCCUCAGGACUGACACCAGUUUCAAAUUAGAAGCUGACAGGCCUCACCUGCUCCUGAGUUCACCGACAGGUCACCUUCUUGUCAUUUUGGCUGUCCCCCCCCUCAGAAUGACAUCUGUGUUCAUAAAGGGACAGUGAGGGACUCUAAGUUGUUAGAAUUGUUGAAGAAUAAGAAUAAGGUGUCAUCUACUCCAAUAACGUAGUACUCAACUUUGGCCUUUCAGAUGGCGUGAUGCUUGUAGCACCUGACAAUGUUUCCAGAUACAAGAAUAGCCAGAUCGGAGGGGCAGCAGUUGUUCCCUCUUCUACGCACGGAUGCUAGGCAUUCAGCCCAGUGCUAGCCACACAGUAGAGGCAACCUCAGAGUAUUCAGCAAGGGCUUUCAAAAUACCUUUACUUUUUACAUAAAGGGAUAGCACGUUAGCUUAAAUUAAAUCAUUCAGAGGAUGUUAUUACAUAGUCAGAUUUUAAAGCAACCUGUGAAAGGCAAAAGGUAAAUACUGUUAAACAUACAACUAGAUAAAAUAUAUUUGAAGCCUUUUCAAUUUGUUGGACAUCUGCAUGAAUCUCUGCGUACUGUGGGUAUAGAUGCAAACCGUGAUGUUACGUGGAAUUGUCCUAGCACUUAAAAACACAUAUUUCUUCCUUUCUAAGGAAGACUUUUCGCAUUUGCUCGAUUGCUGUAACGCAGUUGAGAUAGGGCAGUCCAAUUACUCUGCCCAGACACUUCUCAAAACUCAGAAAAAGGGCAUCCCUCUUCCAACUCAGGUUCAUAAUUAGCUUAUUUCUGUCAGUGAACGCACAGAGAUGUCAGAUCCAAACAACCUCAAACUGUUCAGAACAGAGAUUUGGGCUCCUCUGCAUUUCAAGUUUACUGAAUAAGUGCAGAAACCAAUACAUGCAUGCCUCAGAUGGAACAGCUGUGCAUCUGUCUCCUUAAUGCAUGGGUUUUACAGGAAGCUAAGCAUGUGCAUACGUAUAAGCCCACUGAAGUUGCCUGCCCCAUUGCUGCUGUAUGUAGAGAGGAAGGUCUGUGGGUGAGCUCCCAGCUGUGGGCUGUGAAAGCUUUUCUCCUGGCACCUCCAGGGGCUGGACAGACUUACACUCACCUUGAGCUCAGUUGUGUGCUGGUGAGAAAAGAGCAGAGAUGUUCGUGAGAGGGUGGGAAAGGAUAAACAAGAUGUUCAAUUGCACUUUGCCAAAUGAAGGACUCAGAGCAGCCAAGGAAAAUCUUUUUUUUCUUUUUUCCUCACUAAAUUAAACCUUUAUUUUUGUCUUAGACACUGUGGCUAGCAGAACUGUGAGGAUGUUCACAGUUAUCGCAGUUGCCAUCAUUCUCUGAAAUCUGUCCUUGAUUUUAUUUUCUGCUUCAGGAAAUAUUAUAGUAUUGUUAUUUUAUCUAUAUUAAAUAAACCUAAGGCCUGACUCUUCAUGGUGUAAACAAGCAUGACUUCAGGAAAGCAGUGCUGAAUCACGCCAUCUGUGUGUCUGAGUCUUAAUAUAAAAAGGAACAUGUUACUAGAGAGUAAACAGAAGUAAACAUUUGUUAUGGAAACUCACGUUAUCAACCCAGACACCCUCCUCCGGCGUUUAGCAGGAAAAAAAACCCACCUAUGGUAGAUUUACAGAAGCCACCGCUUUUUUUUUUUAAUGAUUUGGAUAUUGAUCAUUUUUAAUCUUCUUCUCAGAACAACCGGGAGAUCUAUUAUAGCUUGAGCCAGCCAUGAAAAGCAGGUCCGUUCUUUAACCUGCCCCAAUUCACUUGGACAUAUUUUAUAUCUCCAGGGAUUCAGCCACAAAGUCCAUUAGAGCAUCAGAUGCAGUGAGGUCAAAUCAAUUGUCCAUACUGCAGACAAGGUAACCAUCAUUUACUGUAAUUCUCCCCCGUCAUGGUAGAGGAGAGGAAAGGUUAAAAGCUGUAUUACCAUGAGGCUGUCUCAUCUAUCUUUCAGUAUAUUGGUAAUACCUAAACAUUGCUUAAGGAACUGAAUGCACAAUCUUAAAUCUGCGUUAGAAUGGAUUUAGAGGUUAGAUUGCCAACUUGCAAAAUUUGCGAAUGAUGAUUUCUUCAAAGAAAAGCAGAAAAAAUGAAAAUUUUAAAACAAAAAGCUUAAAAUAUAUUGUCACGUCUGACACAGCCGAUCUGAAGCUAUACUGAACGUUCAUCUCACAAUGACCCGAAUGACUGCUAUUUAUCCUUCCCUAUACAUACAUAUAUUUACCUAUGAAGUAAUUUGCUGUCAUCUCUUUAAGGUGGAGAUGCUAUGACAGUCCAAAAACAAAAGAGGAAGUAAAUUCAGGAUGUAUAUUUUUGCACUGUAAAUCAAGCCCUUAUGUGUUUGCACUCUACGAUGGGCAAUAAUAAUUGACUGAAGCAAUCACUGCUGUGGGAAAACAAACGUCCUGGCAGUGUCGCAUGUGAAGGUCAAGCCUGAUGACACAGUAAGCACCUGAACUCUCACUGACUCCUGGGGAGGCGGCCGCUGAGCACCUCCCGGAGCUCUCCUGGCAGGGACAGAUUUACGCAGCCGCCGGGCAGGGGGUGAGGAUGCUUUUUCGCUCCCACCUCCUUCCGUUGGGUCUGCAAAGUCAUUUAUUUCCAUUACAUGUUCUCUCUGGCUCCUCUGCUCGGUAUGUCAGCUGCAUGAAACCAGAGAGAAAAGGCGCUUCUGUGCUUCCAGUGACUGUGCAUCCCUCCUCCUUCAAACAAUUGUGCUGGCCCCAAUUCACUUCACGCAAGCUGGUGCAUUGUUUGCAUGCAGGGGAGCUGUGUCCACUGCACACGCGUGUGAAAGCUGUGGCACCAUGGCCCAGAUCUUGUUGGACAUUGUUGAAGCAGGAAGCAAUAAACCCAGCUUUAUUCACUUGCUUAUUUGCCUUUUCUAGGUUAAUCUUUUCUCUUUCCCUGGAUUUCUUUAAUCCUGGGAUGUUUUCAUUGAGAAAGUGAUUGAAUGAAGAGGCAUUUAGAUUUUCUGUAUUAUGGAAAUGUUUUCACAGCUGUCAGAACCAGUAAUUUUGUCCUUCUGUUUCAGAAGCUAGGUUCUAAGCAAACGUACACAUCCGUUGUUUAAAAUAGAGGCAAAGAAAUAAGGAAUAGAAAAUAGUCACUGCAGUACAAGUGUGUAUUUCUGAGGCUGACGUAUAUUCUGACAUACGUUCACGGUAACUGUAUUGGGAGACAAUGGAUGAACGCAGUGGGAGUGUAAGAGCUGAUGAUGUACGUUACAGAUAAUAAAUAUUUUUGUACGGAAGCUUAUUUGUAAAACUUAGAGUUUAACACUCAGCUCAAUAAAUUCCACUUUCAGGUAAUGUAGGCAUUCAAUAACCAUAAAAAGGAACCGGUAAAAGUUUUGUGUGCGCUGAAGGAGAGAGAAAUGUGCUUUAGAUUAGGUGUUACAUACCUUUCACUUAGCUGCUUUUCCUUCUCUGUUUCCUCUUUUCAUGAUUUUCUUUAUUAUUACCUACUCUCUGGGCUCCUUUUCCUCAGUCUGUGUCGCCCAUCACCUCUGAAUUCAUCCCUAUGAAUGUUUAUGCACAGGUCUUUCGCAACAGUGCAGACUGGCAUUGUGCUAUAAAAUAAAAAUAGCAUUCAAUUAUAAAUUGUAUAUAAAAUUAGAUCUUUGCAAAGGUAAUUUCCAGAACAGCAUCUUUUAAAAUUUAAUUUAGACAUAACUAUUACGAAAUAAGUAAGGCAAAUGUAAAGCUGAGUGAGAAGUUCAUCCCAGGAUCUGGAAGGAAGCAAAAG
ensembl:lncRNA